rnacentral:ncRNA from 1 species
AGAACUAAUAACUCAAUGGGUGGAAUGAAGGAGUAACGCCCUGAAACGCUCGCCUAAUACUCCGACUGGCGGUAUCAACUGCAAUUACGAUGCGGUCAGAGGCUCGGUGAAGUCGGCAGAGAGUGAUCGUAAAUUGGCUUGCCAAGACGAAAGCUGUCCAGAGGUGGAUGGUAUCACCUAUAUGCCGGGGUUCUAUAAA